GUGCAGGCGCAGCUUACCAUGCAGUCGAGCGGUAACAGGGGUAGCUUGCUACCCGCUGACGAGCGGCGGACGGGUGAGUAAUGCAUAGGAAACUGCCCAGUAGUGGGGGAUAGCCCGGGGAAACCCGGAUUAAUACCGCAUACGUCCUUCGGGAGAAAGCAGGGGAUCUUCGGACCUUGCGCUAUUGGAUGUGCCUAUGUCGGAUUAGCUGGUUGGUGAGGUAAUGGCUCACCAAGGCGACGAUCCGUAGCUGGUCUGAGAGGAUGAUCAGCCACAUCGGGACUGAGACACGGCCCGAACUCCUACGGGAGGCAGCAGUGGGGAAUAUUGGACAAUGGGGGCAACCCUGAUCCAGCCAUGCCGCGUGUGUGAAGAAGGCUUUCGGGUUGUAAAGCACUUUCAGUGAGGAGGAAAAGUUAGUCCUUAAUACGGGCUAGCCUUGACGUUACUCACAGAAGAAGCACCGGCUAACUCCGUGCCAGCAGCCGCGGUAAUACGGAGGGUGCAAGCGUUAAUCGGAAUUACUGGGCGUAAAGCGCGCGUAGGUGGUUUGAUAAGCGAGAUGUGAAAGCCCCGGGCUUAACCUGGGAACGGCAUUUCGAACUGUCAGGCUAGAGUGUGGUAGAGGGUAGUGGAAUUUCCUGUGUAGCGGUGAAAUGCGUAGAUAUAGGAAGGAACACCAGUGGCGAAGGCGGCUACCUGGACCAACACUGACACUGAGGUGCGAAAGCGUGGGGAGCAAACAGGAUUAGUCCCC
rnacentral:rRNA from 1 species